AUGGCAGCCAAUACACCAAGAACUAGCUCACCGGGAGGAAGGCAGGCAUACAUGGACAAGCGUCUCCUGGAAGCAGCCACCACUGGUGAUUCCACAUCAAUGAAGCAGUUGACUGCGCAGAAUCCAAGCAUUCUACUUGGAACAACUCCACAGGGGAACAACUGCCUCCACAUAGCCUCCAUCCAUGAUCACCGGGGCUUCUGCGAGGACGUCCUGGAACAGGAGAAGCCUCUCCUAUCAAAUGUCAAUUAUGAGUCUCUCCUCGCAAAGGUCAAUUUUGAGGGGGAGACUCCACUUAUCACAGCCGUUACACUUGGCCAUGUUUCACUGGCUUCUUUUUUACUAGGAUGCUGCCAUCAGCUAGAAUUGAGGCAGGCAAUCUUGAAACAAGAUAUGUAUGGAUUCAAUGCACUGCACCAUGCCAUUCGCAACGGCCACAAGGAUCUUGCGCUGGAGUUGAUAGCAAAAGAGCCUGCACUGUCGCAAGCAAUGACCAAUUUCAAUGAGUCGCCCAUGUUUAUCGCCGUGAUGAGAAAUUUUCAGCAAGUUUUCCGGAAGCUACUGGAAAUUCCUUAUUCUUCUCAUGGGGGAAAGAAUAGCUGCAAUGCUCUGCAUGCUGCAGCUGGAAAUGGAACUGAAGACGUUGCUAAAGAAAUUAUGGAGAAACGACCUGCGUUAGCCAGAGAGGCUGCCAAGGAUGGGAAUACUCCAACAAUGCUGGCUGUGAUUUAUGCCAAGGUUGCCGUACUGCGAGUAUUGCUGGAACAUGAUUCUUCUUUAGGAUACGAAAUAAGCAAACAAGGUUAUCCGCUCCUUUGCGCUGCCGCAGAUAGAGGUCAUGUUGAUGUUGCCCAAGUGCUUCUUAAGCAUUGUCCAGAUGCUCUUUAUCACAAUACAAGUGGAGAGAUUUGUACAUGCCUUCAUCAUGCUGUACGGGGAGGUCACAUGAAAUUUGUUAAAUUCAUCCUCAAGAAAAAACAACUCCAAAAGGUUGUUAAUAUGCAAGACAGCAGUGGAAAAACCGCUCUACAUUAUGCAGUCCAGAAGUGCAAUCCCAAGAUGGUUGCUGCUUUACUGUCCCACAAGGAUAUAGACAGGACAGUGAUUGACAAUUCUUCUGGUUCAGCAGUCCAGGAGCUGUCGAGCAACAUGCGUGCUGUCAAGACUUUGAACUGGAAUGAAGUAAUCAUGCGUAUGUCGGAAGCUGAUCCACAUCAUGCUACCGCUUCUCAUUACCUCGCGGAAGCCAAGCAACUGGCAAUUUAUGAAUCAAGGAAGAAUGUGAAGUCACUAACUAAAACGGACACAACCAACACCUCAUUAGUGGCGGUCCUCAUUACAACAAUCACCUUUGCCGCUGCUUUCACUCUGCCUGGAGGAUACAGCAGUGCUCCUGAAAGCGAGGGGCUUCCUGUCAUGUCUCGGAAGGUUGCAUUUAUAGCAUUCUUGAUCUCUGACACCUUAGCAAUGUGCUUAUCAUUUUGUGUGGCCUUCAUAUGCAUCAUUGCAAGGUGGGAAGAUUACGAGAUCUUGAUCAAUUACAGAUACUUCACUAAGAAGCUCCUGUGGUUUGCAUACGCAGCAACAACUACGGCUUUUUCAACUGGUUUAUACACGGUGUUGGCUCCACGUCUCCACUGGCUGGCCAUUGCAAUUUGUGUUAUGUCAGCUGUGUUGCCCAUUGUCACUAAGCUGCUAGGAAAAUGGCCUAUUUGGUGGCUCAAAAUUAGGCUGGGUAAAAAAUACAAGCAUGAUCUUCUUAGCAUAGUUUGA
rnacentral:rRNA from 1 species